AACGAACGCUGGCGGCAUGCCUAACACAUGCAAGUCGAACGAGACCUUCGGGUCUAGUGGCGCACGGGUGCGUAACGCGUGGGAACCUGCCCUUAGGUUCGGAAUAACUCCCCGAAAGGGGUGCUAAUACCGGAUAAUGUCUUCGGACCAAAGAUUUAUCGCCUUUGGAUGGGCCCGCGUUGGAUUAGCUAGUUGGUAGGGUAAAAGCCUACCAAGGCGACGAUCCAUAGCUGGUCUGAGAGGAUGAUCAGCCACACUGGGACUGAGACACGGCCCAGACUCCUACGGGAGGCAGCAGUGGGGAAUAUUGGACAAGGGGCGAAAGCCUGAUCCAGCAAUGCCGCGUGAGUGAUGAAGGCCUUAGGGUUGUAAAGCUCUUUUACCCGGGAUGAUAAUGACAGUACCGGGAGAAUAAGCUCCGGCUAACUCCGUU
rnacentral:rRNA from 1 species